GGAUAACCUUGCGAAAGUAAGACUAAUACCCAAUGAUAUCUCUAGAAGGCAUCUGAAAGAGAUUAAAGAUUUAUCGGUGAUGGAUGGGGAUGCGUCUGAUUAGCUUGUUGGCGGGGUAACGGCCCACCAAGGCAACGAUCAGUAGGGGUUCUGAGAGGAAGGUCCCCCACAUUGGAACUGAGACACGGUCCAAACUCCUACGGGAGGCAGCAGUGAGGAAUAUUGGUCAAUGGACGAGAGUCUGAACCAGCCAAGUAGCGUGCAGGAAGACGGCCCUAUGGGUUGUAAACUGCUUUUAUAAGGGAAUAAAGUGAGUCUCGUGAGACUUUUUGCAUGUACCUUAUGAAUAAGGACCGGCUAAUUCCGUGCCAGCAGCCGCGGUAAUACGGAAGGUCCGGGCGUUAUCCGGAUUUAUUGGGUUUAAAGGGAGCGUAGGCCGGAGAUUAAGCGUGUUGUGAAAUGUAGAUGCUCAACAUCUGAACUGCAGCGCGAACUGGUUUCCUUGAGUACGCACAAAGUGGGCGGAAUUCGUGGUGUAGCGGUGAAAUGCUUAGAUAUCACGAAGAACUCCGACUGCGAAGGCAGCUCACUGGAGCGCAACUGACGCUGAAGCUCGAAAGUGCGGGUAUCGAACAGGAUUAGAUACCCUGGUAGUCCGCACGGUAAACGAUGGAUGCCCGCUGUUGGUCUGAAUAGGUCAGCG
rnacentral:rRNA from 1 species